rnacentral:rRNA from 1 species
AGAAGCUUGCUUCUCUUGAGAGCGGCGGACGGGUGAGUAAUGCCUAGGAAUCUGCCUGGUAGUGGGGGAUAACGUCCGGAAACGGACGCUAAUACCGCAUACGUCCUACGGGAGAAAGCAGGGGACCUUCGGGCCUUGCGCUAUCAGAUGAGCCUAGGUCGGAUUAGCUAGUUGGUGGGGUAAUGGCUCACCAAGGCGACGAUCCGUAACUGGUCUGAGAGGAUGAUCAGUCACACUGGAACUGAGACACGGUCCAGACUCCUACGGGAGGCAGCAGUGGGGAAUAUUGGACAAUGGGCGAAAGCCUGAUCCAGCCAUGCCGCGUGUGUGAAGAAGGUCUUCGGAUUGUAAAGCACUUUAAGUUGGGAGGAAGGGCAGUAAAUUAAUACUUUGCUGUUUUGACGUUACCGACAGAAUAAGCACCGGCUAACUCUGUGCCAGCAGCCGCGGUAAUACAGAGGGUGCAAGCGUUAAUCGGAAUUACUGGGCGUAAAGCGCGCGUAGGUGGUUCGUUAAGUUGGAUGUGAAAUCCCCGGGCU